GACGAACCGUGCGAACGUUAUUCGGAAUCAUUGGGCUUAAAGGGCGCGUAGGCGGUUCGGUACGUCGGUCGCUGAAAUCCCCCGGCUUAACCGGGGACGUGGCACCGAUACGGCCGACCUGGAGGCGAGGAGGGGGACCUGGAACGUCCGGUGGAGCGGUGAAAUGCGUUGAGAUCGGACGGAACGCCGACGGCGAAAGCAAGGUCCUGGACUCGUACUGACGCUGAGGCGCGAAAGCCAGGGGAGCGAACGGG
rnacentral:rRNA from 1 species